rnacentral:rRNA from 1 species
UACGAAGGGGGCUAGCGUUGCUCGGAAUCACUGGGCGUAAAGGGUGCGUAGGCGGGUCUUUUAAGUCAGGGGUGAAAUCCUGGAGCUCAACUCCAGAACUGCCUUUGAUACUGAAGAUCUUGAGUUCGGGAGAGGUGAGUGGAACUGCGAGUGUAGAGGUGAAAUUCGUAGAUAUUCGCAAGAACACCAGUGGCGAAGGCGAGCUCACUG